AAACAGUACAUUGGUAGUUCAUUGACAGCUAACAACAGUGCCUGUGAAAAUCAUGAACUUCCUGAGAAACUGGUGACUGCUAAGAUAACACAUGGGUGUUGUUGGGUUCCUCGAAUGUGAGGUAUUCAAGCUGCUUUGCCCUUCAGCGUAUGGAAUGAAAGCCAAGAGCACAAUAUGGAUUCCUCUUUCUUUACUAAAGGAUGGCUGCACUGAUAAACCUUGGCCAAACCGGUGCCUGUGAAAUCUGCUGGUGCUCCACCAGCUUUCCCA